AUACGUAGGGGGCUAGCGUUAUCCGGAAUUACUGGGCGUAAAGGGUGCGUAGGUGGUUUCUUAAGUCAGAAGUGAAAGGCUACGGCUCAACCGUAGUAAGCUUUUAAAACUAAGAGACUUGAGUGCAGGAGAGGAGAGUAGAAUUCCUAGUGUAGCGGUGAAAUGCGUAGAUAUUAGGAGGAAUACCAGUUGCGAAGGCGGCUCUCUGGACUGUAGCUGACACUGAGGCACGAAAGCGUGGGGAGCAAACAGGAUUAGAUACCCUGGUAGUCCACGCCGUAAACGAUGAGUACUAGCUGUCGGGGGUUACCCCCCUCGGUGGCGCAGCUAACGCAUUAAGUACUCCGCCUGGGAAGUACGCUCGCAAGAGUGAAACUCAAAUGAAUGGGCGGGG
rnacentral:rRNA from 1 species